GACGAACGCUGGCGGCGUGCCUAAUACAUGCAAGUCGACCUUAGUGGCGAACGGGUGAGUAACACGUGGGUAACCUGCCCAUCAGAAGGGGAUAACACUUGGAAACAGGUGCUAAUACCGUAUACUGAUGGAUGGACCCGCGGUGCAUUAGCUAGUUGGUGAGGUAACGGCUCACCAAGGCCACGAUGCAUAGCGAACCGGGAGGGGGGAGUGGCAAAAUGGGAACUGAGACACGGCCCAAACUCCUACGGGAGGCAGCAGUAGGGAAUCUUGGGCAAGGGACGAAAGUCUGACCGAGCAACGCCGCGUGAGUGAAGAAGGUUUUCGGAUCGUAAAACUCUGUUGUUAGAGAAGCGGUAUCUAACCAGAAAGCCACGGCUAACUACGUGCCAGCAGCCGCGGUAAUUC
rnacentral:rRNA from 1 species